rnacentral:rRNA from 1 species
UACGUGGGGGCCGAGCGUUGUCCGGAGUUACUGGGCGUAAAGGGCGCGCAGGCGGCGGCGUGGGUCCGGCGUGAAAGCCCCCGGCUCAACCGGGGAACGUCGUCGGGGACCGCGCCGCUUGAGGGCGGCAGGGGCCGGUGGAACUGCCUGGUGUAGCGGUGAAAUGCGUGAGAGAUCAGGCGGAACACCCGUGGCGAAGGCGGCCGGCUGGGCCGUCCCUGACGCUGAGGCGGCGAAGGCGGUGGGGAGCCGAACGGG